rnacentral:rRNA from 1 species
AGUAAAUAGAUACCCCGGUAGUCCACGCCGUAAACGAUGAGUACUAGGUGUAGGAGGUAUCGACUCCUUCUGUGCCGCAGUUAAACACAAUAAGUACUCCGCCUGGGAAGUACGGUCGCAAGAUUAAAACUCAAAGGAAUUGACGGGGGCCCGGCACAAGCAGCGGAGCAUGUGGUUUAAAUUACGAAGCAACGCGAAGAACCUUACCUAGACUUGACAUCUCCUGAAUAGUGUAGAGAUACAUGAAGCUCUUCGGGGUCGAGGAAGACAGGUGGUGCAUGGUUGUCGUCAGCUCGUGUCGUGAGAUGUUGGGUUAAGUCCCGCAACGAGCGCAACCCUUAUUACUAGUUGCUACCAUUAAGUUGAGCACUCUAGUGAGACUG